GGGGGCGACACGGUUUCGACGGAGGAAGUAGUGGCAGGAGUAGCGAGCCGGGAUUUCAUCCACCCCGUUAAACGGUGAAAAGGCUUAUAGUUGCCGACGAAAACUAUGCAAUGGCUGCCUAACUUAGGUUAAGGUAUCCCAUCCAGCCCAUCUAAGCCUGCGUGGUGGAAUCUGGGUGUCAAAUUAGCGGGCUUACCCUUAGGCCGACUCUCGUAAGCACAAGGGGACAUUUAACGAGAUAGAUCCUGCGAAGCCCGGUUGUGGGCGUCAAUGGAUCGAAAUCUAAAGCACAGCCUGCGCUCGGAGAGACUCCUGUGGCGUUUCUUUCGGACGGUGGGUUCGACUCCCCCCGCCUCCACCA
rnacentral:tmRNA from 1 species